rnacentral:rRNA from 1 species
AGUGAACGCUGGCGGUAGGCCUAACACAUGCAAGUCGAACGGCAGCACAGUAAGAGCUUGCUCUUACGGGUGGCGAGUGGCGGACGGGUGAGGAAUACAUCGGAAUCUACUUUUUCGUGGGGGAUAACGUAGGGAAACUUACGCUAAUACCGCAUACGACCUACGGGUGAAAGCAGGGGAUCUUCGGACCUUUCGCGAUUGAAUGAGCCGAUGUCGGAUUAGCUAGUUGGCGGGGUAAAGGCCCACCAAGGCGACGAUCCGUAGCUGGUCUGAGAGGAUGAUCAGCCACACUGGAACUGAGACACGGUCCAGACUCCUACGGGAGGCAGCAGUGGGGAAUAUUGGACAAUGGGCGAAAGCCUGAUCCAGCCAUACCGCGUGAGUGAAGAAGGCCUUCGGGUUGUAAAGCCCUUUUGUUGGGAAAGAAAAGCAGCAGGUUAAAACCCCGCUGUUCUGACGGUACCCAAAGAAUAAGCACCGGCUAACUUCGUG